rnacentral:rRNA from 1 species
UACGUAGGGUGCAAGCGUUGUCCGGAAUUAUUGGGCGUAAAGAGCUCGUAGGCGGUCUGUCGCGUCUGCUGUGAAAACUCGGGGCUUAACCCCGGGCCUGCAGUGGGUACGGGCAGACUAGAGUGCGGUAGGGGAGACUGGAAUUCCUGGUGUAGCGGUGAAAUGCGCAGAUAUCAGGAAGAACACCAAUGGCGAAGGCAGCUCUCUGGGACGGUACUGACGCUGAGACGCGAAAGCGUGGGGAGCGAACAGG